rnacentral:rRNA from 1 species
CGACUUAAGCAUAUCAAUAAGCGGAGGAAAAGAAACUAACAAGGAUUCCCCUAGUAACUGCGAGUGAAGCGGGAAAAGCUCAAAUUUAAAAUCUGACGGUUUUGGCCCGUCCGAGUUGUAGUCUGGAGAAGUGCUUUCCGUGCUGGACCGUGUACAAGUCUCUUGGAACAGAGCGUCAUAGAGGGUGAGAAUCCCGUCUCUGACACGGACUGCCAGUGCUUUGUGAUGCGCUCUCAAAGAGUCGAGUUGUUUGGGAAUGCAGCUCAAAAUGGGUGGUAAAUUCCAUCUAAAGCUAAAUAUUGGCGAGAGACCGAUAGCGAACAAGUACCGUGAGGGAAAGAUGAAAAGCACUUUGGAAAGAGAGUUAAACAGUACGUGAAAUUGCUGAAAGGGAAACGCUUAAAGUCAGUCGCGUCGUUCGGAACUCAGCCUUGCUUUCUGCUUGGUGCACUUUCUGAAUGACGGGCCAGCAUCGAUUUUGAUCGUCGGAAAAGGGCUGAGGGAAUGUGGCACCUCCGGGUGUGUUAUAGCCUUCAGUCGCACACGGCGGUUGGGAUCGAGGCACGCAGCGCGCCGAAAGGCAGGGGUUCGCCCACUUUCGCGCUUAGGAUGCUGGCGUAAUGGCUUUAAACGACCCGUCUUGAAACACGGACCAAGGAGUCUAACAUGCCUGCGAGUGUUUGGGUGGAAAACCCGAGCGCGUAAUGAAAGUGAAAGUUGAGACCUCUGUCGUGGAGGGCAUCGACGCCCGGACCUGACGUUCUCUGACGGAUCCGCGGUGGAGCAUGUAUGUUGGGACCCGAAAGAUGGUGAACUAUGCCUGAAUAGGGUGAAGCCAGAGGAAACUCUGGUGGAGGCUCGUAGCGAUUCUGACGUGCAAAUCGAUCGUCAAAUUUGGGUAUAGGGGCGAAAGACUAAUCGAACCAUCUAGUAGCUGGUUCCUGCGAUCCCUCUCUCUCUUCCUGUUUUA